rnacentral:rRNA from 1 species
CCUACGGGGGGCGGCAGUUGGGAAUCUUGCGCAAUGGGGGCAACCCUGACGCAGCGACGCCGCGUGCGGGAUGACGGUCUUCGGAUUGUAAACCGCUUUUCUCGAGGACGAUAAUGACGGUACUCGGGGAAGAAGCCCCGGCUAACUCCGUGCCAGCAGCCCCGGUC